ACACGAAUCUUCUGGGGAUCUUGUUAAAAUGAAGAUUCUGAUUCAGCAGGCUAUGUAGGCCCUGAGAUUCUGAACUUCUAACAAGCUCCCAGGUGAUGUUGAU
rnacentral:pre_miRNA from 1 species